rnacentral:rRNA from 1 species
AUUGAACGCUGGCGGCGUGCUUAACACAUGCAAGUCGACCGGCAGCACGAGAGAGUUUGCUCUUUUGGUGGCGAGUGGCGCGCGGGUGAGUCAUGCAUCGGAACGUCCCGAGUAAUGGGGGAUAACUGUGCAAACGGAUAGCUAAUCCCGCAAACGAUUUGAGCCGGAAAGUGGGGGCUCUUAGGACGUCUCGUUAUUCGAGCGGCCGAUGUCUGAUUCGCUAGUUGGUGGGGUAAAGGCCUACCAAGGCCACGAUCAGUAGCGGAUCUGAGAGGAUGAUCCGCCACACUGGAACUGAGACACGGCCCAGACUCCUACGGGAGGCAGCAGUGGGGAAUCUUCGGCAAUGGGCGCAAGCCUGAUGCAGCCAUGCCGCGUGAGUGAAGAAGGCCUUCGGAUUGUAAAGCUCUUUUAUUAGGGAAGAAAAUAUUUGUAUGUAUACCAGCAUCUGUUGACGGUACCUAAAGAGAAAGCACCGGCUAACUACGUG